rnacentral:lncRNA from 1 species
ACAUCUAUAAAUAAGAGGAGUAUUAUAAUGGGUGAGGGUGGUUGACACUUUCACAAAAUACGUGAAUACGUAAUUCUAAUAGUUGGAAGAGUACGCCCUUUUCUAUGAGAGAUAGAAAAAAUUAGAGUUUUGUCAAAUACUCAUCUUCUUGAAUCUUUCUUCUUCCUUGAUGGAUCACCUCUAGAGGUUAAACAGUUGGGUGACUAACAUUGAUCAAAGAAAGGAACCAAACCCGGUGGAUUCAAG